rnacentral:tRNA from 1 species
AUUAGCUCAGUUGGUAGAGCACCUGACUUUUAAUCAGGGUGUCACAGGUUCAAAUCCUGUAUG